UACGUAGGGGGCAAGCGUUGUCCGGAUUUAUUGGGCGUAAAGAGCUCGUAGGCGGUUCCGUAAGUCGGAUGUGAAAAAUCUGGGCUCAACCCAGUGGAGCACCCGAUACUGCGGUGACUCGAGUCCGGUAGGGGGGUGUGGAAUUCCUGGUGUAGCGGUGAAAUGCGCAGAUAUCAGGAGGAACACCGACGGCGAAGGCAGCACUCUGGGCCGGUACUGACGCUGAGGAGCGAAAGCAUGGGGAGCGAACAGG
rnacentral:rRNA from 1 species